UACGUAGGGCGCAAGCGUUGUCCGGACUUACUGGGCGUAAAGCGCGUGCAGGCGGAUUGGUAUGUGCCGUGUGAAAGCUCUCAGCUUGCCUGGGAGAGGUCGCGGUAGACAGCCGAUCUGGAGGCUCGGAGAGGUCAGUGGAAUUCCCGGUGUAGUGGUGAAAUUCGUAGAUAUUGGGAAGAACACCGGUGGCGAAGGCGGCGAGCUGGUCCAUUACUGACGCUGAGGCGCGACAGCGUGGGGAGCAAACAGGAUUAGAAACCGUG
rnacentral:rRNA from 1 species